rnacentral:rRNA from 1 species
UGGGGAAUUUUGCACAAUGGGGGAAACCCUGAUGCAGCGACGCCGCGUGAUUUAGAAGGCCUUCGGGUUGUAAAAAUCUUUUCUAUGGGAAGAAAAUGACAGUACCAUAGGAAUAAGGACCGGCUAAUUACGUGCCAGCAGCCGCGGUAAUACGUAAGGUCCGAGCGUUGUCCGGAAUCAUUGGGCGUAAAGGGUACGUAGGCGGGUAAGCAAGUUAGAAGUGAAAUCCCAUAGCUCAACUAUAGUAAGCUUUUAAAACUGCUCAUCUUGAGGUAUGGAAGGGAAAGUGGAAUUCCUAGUGUAGCGGUGAAAUGCGCAGAUAUUAGGAGGAAUACCGGUGGCGAAGGCGACUUUCUGGCCAUAACCUGACGCUGAGGUACGAAAGCGUGGGUAGCAAACAGG